rnacentral:rRNA from 1 species
UGGUGGAGUGAUUUGUCUUGUUAAUUCAGUUAACGAACGAGACCUCGCCCUGCUAAAUAGUUCCGCGAACUCCUUGUGGGUUCGAAUUCAGGUGACUUCUUAGAGGGACAAUCGGUGUGUAGCCGAUGGAAGUUCGAGGCAAUAACA